GAUGAACGCUGGCGGCGUGCCUAAUACAUGCAAGUCGAGCGAACAGACGAGGAGCUUGCUCCUCUGACGUUACCGGCGGACGGGUGAGUAACACGUGGAUAACCUACCUAUAAGACUGGGAUAACUUCGGGAAACCGGAGCUAAUACCGGAUAAUAUAUUGAACCGCAUGGUUCAAUAGUGAAAGACGGUUUUGCUGCCACUUAUAGAUGGAUCCGCGCCGCAUUAGCUAGUUGGUAAGGUAACGGCUUACCAAGGCAACGAUGCGUAGCCGACCUGAGAGGGUGAUCGGCCACACUGGAACUGAGACACGGUCCAGACUCCUACGGGAGGCAGCAGUAGGGAAUCUUCCGCAAUGGGCGAAAGCCUGACGGAGCAACGCCGCGUGAGUGAUGAAGGUCUUCGGAUCGUAAAACUCUGUUAUUAGGGAAGAACAAAUGUGUAAGUAACUAUGCACGUCUUGACGGUACCUAAUCAGAAAGCCACGGCUAACUACGUG
rnacentral:rRNA from 1 species